CACCAGUCUCCCUUGCAAAACUACCAAGGCUAUUAAUAGAAUCCAGUGGUAACUUUUUCUGGGGUAAUAUUGCUGAAAAAAAAAAUCCAUUUAGUAGGCUGGGACACUCUUACUCUCCCAAAAGAUAAAGGUGGCCUAGGUAUCCAAAGAAGUGAGCUCCAAAACAAAGCGCAGCAUGCCAUCCUAGCUUGGACAAUGUAUCACAAUACACAAGCUUCCUGAACAAAAUGAUUUACAAUAAGUACUGUAGACCCCAUAACAACAAACAAAGAAGGAAAAUAUCCUCUAAUGUUUGAAAGUGCAUCAAGCAAGGUGGGACAUCUGUCAGAAGAACAUUAGAUGAACCAUUAAUAAGGGGAAUAGAAUUAGGUUUUUCAUGAUAAAUGGAUUCCCAACUUGGAGUCCAUCAGAUCCCAAAUUCAGGGUCCCCUCAACAAAGGUGAAGACUAGCUUAGGGUCCACUCCAUAUGCUCUAAUAGUAAAUGUGACCUUGGUCUUAUAUCCUUCCAAUUGUCGUUGAACUCUCUUGUAUUAUUCAGAACUACUCCAUCCCUAAUCAUACUAAUAGGAAAAUUUCUUGAACAAUACCAAGAAUGGUAAAUUUUUCAUGAAGCUUGCUUACCACUCCAUUGAUGACUCACAGACUCACCAUAGACCUAUAGGAAAAGAUUUCCAGUGGAUUUGACAUCUCAAAGCUCCUAACAAAGUGAAAAUCUUUAUUUGGCUUUUCCAUCACAAGAAACUGCCCACUGAAAGCUACUUCCAUAACAUUGGCUUACCCAUUAAUAACCACUACACUCAAUGCACUAACCAAGAGAAAGAUAUUAAUCACAUAUUUUUUAAAUAUGAAAGCACCACCACAUUUUGGAAUAAGAUGGCCAGCAUUAGUGUCUCUAUCCAAAACUUUGGUUCUACAGCCAUAACAGAUGCUAACUGGCUUGAUACUGGAAGGCUAUCAAGAACAAGCAAUUCAAUAGCUAGCUUACUUGGGAUCACAUCAUUUCCUUCUGCUUGUGGAACAUUUGGCUUAAUAGGAAUAAUAACCUUUUAAACAACAAACACUCUCAGAUCUCUACAGCCCACACUAUAGCCAUUACUACUAAAUUCUACCUCCUUGUGGAUAAUCACCCUUUAGGCAAGAACCUCACCAUUACGAUCCAAGUCAGAUGGAAACCCCCUGAACCUGAAACCUUUAAACUCAACAUAGAUUGAGUUGUUAGGAGACAACCAGGUAAAGGUGGGAUAAGGUGUGUGAUUAGAAACUCAAGAGGUGAUUGGAUAAUAGGUUUCACUAAAGCCUACAGCCACGUCUCAACUCUCUAGGAAAAACUACUGGUCAUCCUAGAAUGCUUAAAACUUGCUUUAGAUAGGAAUCUAACCUCUUUUGUAAUCAA
rnacentral:lncRNA from 1 species